rnacentral:rRNA from 1 species
AGAGUUUGAUCAUGGCUCAGGAUGAACGCUGGCGGCGUGCCUAACACAUGCAAGUCGAGCGAUUUACUUCGGUAAAGAGCGGCGGACGGGUGAGUAACGCGUGGGUAACCUGCCCUGUACACACGGAUAACAUACCGAAAGGUAUGCUAAUACGAGAUAAUAUACUUUUAUCGCAUGGUAGAAGUAUCAAAGCUUUUGCGGUACAGGAUGGACCCGCGUCUGAUUAGCUAGUUGGUAAGGUAACGGCUUACCAAGGCGACGAUCAGUAGCCGACCUGAGAGGGUGAUCGGCCACAUUGGAACUGAGACACGGUCCAAACUCCUACGGGAGGCAGCAGUGGGGAAUAUUGCACAAUGGGCGAAAGCCUGAUGCAGCAACGCCGCGUGAGCGAUGAAGGCCUUCGGGUCGUAAAGCUCUGUCCUCAAGGAAGAUAAUGACGGUACUUGAGGAGGAAGCCCCGGCUAACUACGUGCCAGCAGCCGCGGUAAUACGUAGGGGGCUAGCGUUAUCCGGAAUUACUGGGCGUAAAGGGUGCGUAGGUGGUUUCUUAAGUCAGAGGUGAAAGGCUACGGCUCAACCGUAGUAAGCCUUUGAAACUGGGAAACUUGAGUGCAGGAGAGGGGAGUGGAAUUCCUAGUGUAGCGGUGAAAUGCGUAGAUAUUAGGAGGAACACCAGUUGCGAAGGCGGCUCUCUGGACUGUAACUGACACUGAGGCACGAAAGCGUGGGGAGCAAACAGGAUUAGAUACCCUGGUAGUCCACGCCGUAAACGAUGAGUACUAGCUGUCGGAGGUUACCCCCUUCGGUGGCGCAGCUAACGCAUUAAGUACUCCGCCUGGGAAGUACGCUCGCAAGAGUGAAACUCAAAGGAAUUGACGG